rnacentral:rRNA from 1 species
ACGGAAGGCAGCAGUGGGGGAUAUUGCACAAUGGGGGAAACCCUGAUGCAGCGACGCCGCGUGAGUGAAGAAGUAUUUCGGUAUGUAAAGCUCUAUCAGCAGGAAAGAUAAUGACGGUACCUGACUAAGAAGCACCGGCUAAAUACGUGCCAGCAGCCGCGGUAAUACGUAUGGUGCAAGCGUUAUCCGGAUUUACUGGGUGUAAAGGGAGCGCAGACGGCAUGGCAAGCCAGAUGUGAAAUGCGGGGGCUCAACUCCUGAACUGCAUUUGGAACUGUCAAGCUAGAGUAUCGGAGAGGUAAGUGGAAUUCCUAGUGUAGCGGUGAAAUGCGUAGAUAUUAGGAGGAACACCAGUGGCGAAGGCGGCUUACUGGACUGUAACUGACGUUGAGGCUCGAAAGCGUGGGGAGCAAACAGGAUUAGAUACCCUGGUA